rnacentral:rRNA from 1 species
GACGGAGGAUGCAAGUGUUAUCCGGAAUCACUGGGCGUAAAGCGUCUGUAGGUGGUUUAAUAAGUCAACUGUUAAAUCUUGAGGCUCAACCUCAAAAUCGCAGUCGAAACUAUUAGGCUAGAGUAUAGUAGGGGUAAAGGGAAUUUCCAGUGGAGCGGUGGAAAUGACGUAGAGAUUGGAAAGAACACCGAUGGCGAAGGCACUUUACUGGGCUAUUACUAACACUCAGAGACGAAAGCUAGGGUAGCAAAUGGG